rnacentral:rRNA from 1 species
ACUCUGUUUACACAUCCACUCACANNNNNNNNNNNUCUGUAGUUCUGUGGUGUGGGGGACUCUGUCCUCCUGCUGUGGUUCUAUGUCUUUACACACACACUGUAAUAAAAGUCUCAUGGAAUGUAUACCGCGUUUAACGCAAUACAAUACAACUUUCAGCAACGGAUCUCUUGGCUCUCGCAUCGAUGAAGAACGCAGCGAAAUGCGAUAAGUAAUGUGAAUUGCAGAAUUCAGUGAAUCAUCGAAUCUUUGAACGCACCUUGCGCCCUUUGGCUAUUCCGAAGGGCAUGCCUGUUUGAGUAUCAUGAACACCUCAACUCUCAUGGUUUGCCGUGAUGAGCUUGGACUUUGGGGGUCUUGCUGGCCUAUGGUCAGCUCCUCUUAAAUGAAUCAGCUUGCCAGUGUUUGGUGGCAUCACAGGUGUGAUAACUAUCUACGCUUGUGGUUUUCCACCAAGUAACCUUCAGUAAUGGAGGUUCGCUGGGGCUCAUAAAGGUCUCUCCUCAGUGAGGACAGCUUUUUGAACGUUUGAUCUCAAAAUCAGUAGGACUACCCGCUGA